ensembl:lncRNA
GGGUGGGGGUGGGGGGUUAUAACGCUUUAAAGUCACGCAGUUCCGUAAUCUUCAGCUGACCAUUUGGAGUAGGAGUGCUGUAUGGUGCAGAGAUAAGAAGAAAAACACCCCAGUUCCCUCCCCACUUCCCCCUUUACUGCAAUUAAAGGCUGUGAGGUCUUUGUUUGUUUUUCAUACUCAGUUCAUGUAUUAGUAUUCUCUUUCUCCCCUGGAGAAUACAGAAGCCUGUGGAUGAGGACUGUUUUUGUCUGCUGAUGUUUACAGCAGGGGACUUUCCUCCUUCCACACCGUGUAUAAUACAAUCUACAUUUCUGCUUAAAUAUGACUUAAAUAUCAUCAGAUUUUCACACAAGUCAUAAACUUAGACAAAGAGAACCCACUUAAACAAACGAGAGAAAAAUAUUAUACUUGGUCAUUUAUUUAUCAAGGAGAAGGAUCCAGUAUUACAUGUCUGUGGGGGUAAAAGUAUGUGAACGUUUGGGAUUAGCAGUUAAUUUGAAGGUGAGAUUAGAGUCAGGUGUUUGUAAUCAGUGGGAUGAUGAUCAGGUGUGAGUGAGUGAGAGGCCUGUUUUAUUAAAGAACAGGGAUCUAUCAGAGUCUGAUCUUCACACAUGUUUGUGGAAGUGCAUCAUGGAAUGAACAAAGGAGACUUCUGAAGACCUCAGAGAAAGAGUUGUUGAAGCUCAUCAGACUGGAAGAGGUUACAUAACAAUCUGUAAAGAGUUCGGACUCCACCGAUCCACAGUCAGACAGAUUGUGUACAAAUGGAGGAAAUUCAAGACCAGUGUUCCCCUCCCCAGGAGCGGAGACCAACAAAGAUCACUCCAAGAGCAAUACGUGUAAUAGUCCACGAGGUCACAGAGGAACCAGGAUAACUUCUACCCAACUAAAGGCCUCUCUCACAUUGACUAAUGCUAAUGUUCACGAGUCCACCAUCAGGAGAACACUGAACAACACUGGUGUGCGUGGCAGGGUUACAAGGAGAAAGCCACUGCUCUCCAAAAAGAACACUGCUGCCCUUCUGCAGUUAAAGAUCACGUGGAUGAGACAGAAGGCUAAUGGAAAAAUGUUCUGUGGACAGAUGAGACCAAAGUAGAAGUUUUGGUUUAAAUGAGAAGGAUUAUGUUUGGAGAAAGGAAAACACUGCAUUCCAGCAUAACAACCUUAUCUCAUCUGUGAAACAUGGUGCUGGUGGUAUCGUGGUUUAAACCUGUUUUGGUGCAUCUGGGCCAGUAUGACUCACCAUCAUUGAUUGGACAAUGAUUUCUGUAGUAUACCAGCGAAUACUAAAGGAAAAUGUCAGGACGUCUGUCUGUGAACUGAAUCUGAAGAGAAAGUCAUGCAGCAAGACGACAACCCUAAGCACACAAGUCAUUCUACCAAAGAACGGUUAAAGAAGAAUGAAGUGAAUGUUUUGGAAUUUCCAAGUCAAAGUUCUGACCUUAAUCCAGUAGAAAUGUUGUGGAAGGACCUGAAGCAAGAAGUUCAUGUGAAGAAACCCACCGACAUCCCAGAGCUGAAGCUGUUCUGUACUGUGGAACGAGAUCAAACUCCUCCGAGCCGAUGUGCAGGACUGAUCAACAGAUACCACAAAUGUUUAUCUGCAGUUAUUGCUGCACAAGGGGGUCACACCAGAUACUGAAAACAAAGGACUUAUGUGAAACUCUGAUGAUGUUUUAGCACCGCUGUACAAAAACUCUCUGAUGCUGGCUUAGAAGCAAGAGAAAUCAUGUCAGUGACUGAGGCAUAAAUGUGACUCAUACCUGCAGUCGUACCGGCGCCAAAACUACAACGAUAGGAGAUGCUGGCGCACCCGUCCAGUCAAACACUCCUGUCCCUCUACUCCAACAACUGCACAAUCCAGAUAAAUGUUAAGAACCACCCCAAUAUUUAAGCAUGCUUUCCUCCGUGUCUGUGUGUUGCUUGGCAACCAUUCUGAGAACUACAUUGCUUGGUGACCUUCUUGUAGUUUCUCCUUCAAAGACAAAAUAAAGCAUGGCGUAAAUAAUGCACCUCAGUCAUGCUUAUUCACAUACGCCUGAACGAGAUGUUCAACAAGCAUGUGCAGGUGUGAUGGUCAGGUGUGCACAAACUUCUCGACAUGCACUCUGUAUCGUAUCACAAUACUUGAGGAAAGUUCUGUCAUGCACAAUAUAUAUCAUAGUAUGUAUAUAUAUGUGUGUGUGUGUGUGUGUGUGUGUGUGUGUGUGUGUGUGUGUGUGUAAAUAUAUAAAUAUAUAUGUUAAUUUAGCUAGCAAACUAAAGUUGUUUAAAAAUCAUUCAAAUAAAACAAAAGAACUGUUAAGCUGAAGUUGAUGCUUUUAUUUCAUGCCUACAAAAUAAAAACCUGUAAUAGAAAUGCACAAAUUUAAAGAUAACGUUAAAAAAAGACAUCAAAUCAACAGCUUCCGUUCCGUCAUUAAAAUAGUUCAAAAUAAUUAAUAAAUACAUAACUUUUUUUUUUUAGAAAAGUGUGUCAUGAUGUCAUUUCUCAUGAUAUCGAUAUUAUUUCGUGAUCGCUCUGCUCUAAUGGAGAUCAGAUCUUGGACGUCACCGAUAAGCUGCAUGAAUCUACACUCUCUCAGCGCCACUUCUCGCCUCUUCGUACCGUUCUGUGUGUCUGUUU